rnacentral:rRNA from 1 species
UACGUAGGGUGCAAGCGUUGUCCGGAAUUAUUGGGCGUAAAGAGCUCGUAGGCGGUUUGUUGCGUCGGCUGUGAAAUCCCGAGGCUCAACCUCGGGUCUGCAGUCGAUACGAGCAAACUAGAGUGUUGCAGGGGAGACUGGAAUUCCUGGUGUAGCGGUGAAAUGCGCAGAUAUCAGGAGGAACACCGGUGGCGAAGGCGGGUCUCUGGGCAACAACUGACGCUGGAGGAGCGAAAGCCGUGGGGAGCGAACAGG